CGGGGAGUCUAUGGGAUAAGUCCUUGGCCUGGGUCCAAGUGCAUAGAUUUCAACAUAGCACAGGCUCUUUAUGCCAGACUUUGGGUCAUCAUGUUUACUUAGGCAGUACUCAAUGAAAUAUUUUAGAGAAGCCAUACAAAGGGCCAUGGAACAACACUAGCCUAUGACCUUGAGUCGCUCUCCCACGUCCCUACCCCCACUAGAAGCCAAAGAUAUAAUUUACUACAUAGAGAAGGUCAGACUGAAGAGCAGCCCCUCACACUUCUAAUCGUUAAGCCAACAGCAAGCAGCAUGACUCAGUUGCUUCCACGUUCUUGGCUGUGUUGCUAGUGUGGCAGGAGAGGAGGUCCAGCAGAACUUGUCUUCAUGAUGGAGAUGGUAAGAGCAUGGUCUCUGCUUACUUCACAAAGCUAGGUGCUUCAUCAGUUACGAUGUGACAUGGAAGGACUGGAGAGUACCAGCAAGGAACCAAGGAAACACCCUCGAAGACACACCCAGAGGCACGUUGAUCCAACUGCACACAAGAUCCCAGAGCCACUCAAAUAGAUAAUGAAGACUCUCUACCACAGAUAGGAUCUCUCUAUUUUGCAUAAGAGACUGAACUCAAACUUGAAGCUCUCCCAUCUCAGUCUCCCAAGUAGCUGGAUUUGCAGAUCCAAUCACUUUCACAGCAGUGACAUUACUGACAGGUCAAGGUGCACUGCUGUUGGCAGUGGUCAGGACUUGGUCCUUGUCUACAAGGAUAGCAGAAAGGAGGCAGAGAACACGGAAGAAAGGACAACUGCCUUGGCUGAGAGGUGAUGGGUGAGCCUGCAGAGGGCUGGUGGAAGGUUUGAACUGUGAGGUUGGGCUAAACCAGUGAUCCCAAGAUGACUCUCCUGCCCAGGUCCUGGCAGAAGAAGUCCCUGUGUUCUGCUGAGGAGAGGGGAGAGCACCAGACAGAGCAGCCCUGGAAUCUAGAAGGAAACCUUUGUAUAAGAAGCUCCCAUUGACCUUGGAGGCCACUUACCAAGGAGUAUUUAAAGAGAUGAAAGUAAGUUUCCAUAAAUACCCGUUGGUUCAUCCCUUUGUUUUGUAACAGAACACUCAGGGAAAAGAAACUCUAACCGAUUCUUUCUUCCCAUUCCUUCCCUGGGUAGAGUCAGGACCUGCUGAGCAUGAGCAAGCUGGAACAGGAUUUCACACUGGCAGCCAUGGCAGGGGCUCACUGCUCCUGUGGCCUGGGGCUCCAGAAGGGUAUUUGCAGCAGUGGCCACCCAUGGGAGUCCUGGCCAACUGUGCUUGAGUUCCAAAGCUCUCUCAGAGAAGGAAGAUUCCUUGAUGUGUCUCUGACCUCAGGCUACAUGGAUUAGGAUUAGCCAGGAGGCCAAAC
rnacentral:lncRNA from 1 species